UUAGUCGAAACCAAAAAGAGGUAUAUCACUGUUAAUGAUAAAAUUGAACACAAAAUAAUUCCGUCUAAA
rnacentral:tRNA from 1 species